rfam:Triticum aestivum genome assembly, contig: Triticum_aestivum_CS42_TGACv1_scaffold_223874_3B
CUAUUACUCCCUCCGUCUGGAAAUACUUGUCAUCAAAAUGGAUAAAAGAGAAUGUACCUAGACGUACUUUAGUUCUGGAUACAUUUUUUUUUUAUCCAUUUUGAUGACAAGUAUUUUCGGACGGAGGGAGUAUAAU